UAGGAUAACUAGAUUACCCUAUAGGUUCAAAAAUAGCCAUGCAGUCGUCUGGCCUCUACCGAUAUCCACUCGAGCAAAAUCUGGAUCAUCUUCUCCUUGUGAAUCUCUACUCUAAAAAUUAGAUCUAGAUCUGAUUUAAAAGAUCUUCAAAAGAUCUUCUAAAGCUGGAGUAGUAGCUUCUCGAUAAAUUCCUGCAGCCUUC
rnacentral:lncRNA from 1 species